UUUGAUGUGACUCUAGCUGCCCAAUCACUGCACACGCCAAGUCUCUUUUUGGCCUUAUGUGGAACGUGUGACUCUAAGAUGCUGGAAUAGGGAAAAUAUAGAUUUAGAGUUACAAUUUAUAUUAUCCUAUUAAAUGUACUCCCUCAUAUAUAUUAUAACGAUCUCAAGACAAUAGUAAGUAGUCCCUCCUAUUACAUCAAAUGGAAGUGUUUCAAAAAAUAAAUCCCAUAAUGUACCAAAUUUGUACUGUAUAUACAAUCUAAAAAAAAA
rnacentral:lncRNA from 1 species